CGAACGGGUAGCCGGCCUGAGAGGGUGACCGGCCACACUGGGACUGAGACACGGUCCCAGACUCCUACGGGAGGCAGCAGUGGGGAAUAUUGCACAAUGGGCGAAAGCCUGAUGCAGCGACGCCGCGUGAGGGAUGACGGCCUUCGGGUUGUAAACCUCUUUCAGUAGGGAAGAAGCGAAAGUGACGGUACCUGCAGAAGAAGCACCGGCUAACUACGUGCCAGCAGCCGCGGUAAUACGUAGGGUGCGAGCGUUAUCCGGAAUUAUUGGGCGUAAAGAGCUCGUAGGCGGUUUGUCGCGUCUGUCGUGAAAGUCCGGGGCUUAACCCCGGAUCUGCGGUGGGUACGGGCAGACUAGAGUGCAGUAGGGGAGACUGGAAUUCCUGGUGUAGCGGUGGAAUGCGCAGAUAUCAGGAGGAACACCGAUGGCGAAGGCAGGUCUCUGGGCUGUAACUGACGCUGAGGAGCGAAAGCAUGGGGAGCGAACAGGAUUAGAUACCCUGGUAGUCCAUGCCGUAAACGUUGGGCACUAGGUGUGGGGACCAUUCCACGGUUUCCGCGCCGCAGCUAACGCAUUAAGUGCCCCGCCUGGGGAGUACGG
rnacentral:rRNA from 1 species